GAAAAGCUAGGGUUUUAAGGGCAAAAUUUAUUCUCUGCUUUUAGGUUUUCUCUUUGAUUUUCUGUUCACGUUUCAAAUUCCAGAAAAAAAUUACAGAAAGAGAUAUACAAAGAUUUAAGUGAUCUUCUCUGAUUUUCGGCUAUUCCUCCUCUGAUUUUGAGUUAAGUUUCUUUCAUAUACAUAGAUGUAAACAAAAAAUAUAUAUAUUUUUUAGUUUUUGACCUGUUGAUCUUCGUUCAUGGAUCUUGCUUGAGCUUGGUUGGUGUUUUGCGGGUUCGGACGUGACUGUUCGAGGACGAAAUUCAUGGUUCCGAGUUCAAUUAGUUGCUUUUUUCCUCCCUUGAAUUUUGGAGUCAAAAUCUGUGUAGUUGCUGAUUAUUCAAUUGCUAUUAAAUAAUCAUCUGGACUGAUUGAUCGUCUCGGUGAUUGGUAACCGGUUGAAUGCUAAAACUGAGAAAAGUGCAAGUUAGAAAGUGAGGAAGUCUAUGAUAUCCAUGUUUUGGUUUUUCAAUAUGUUUUUAAUGCCUAGUUGGUGUUUUUUGCAGUGUGUUAUUGAGUAAGAGAACUUUAGGUCUCAUGUUAAACUUGACUACAACAUCUCUGCUUUCCACUAUUUAUCUAUAUACUUCCUUUAAGUAAUAUACAAAGUGAAUAAUCACAUAUAGUGUAAUAUCUAUCCUUGUUUUAUGUACCAAACUCCAAAGCAAAAUCCAAUAUGUACUUCACUGAAUAGAAAGUGCUUGCCAUUGCAAGUGUUAUCUUACCAUUUCCUGAAGAUCCCCUCUAGUCUCGUUCUUUGCUAUACAAGACUUGUUUUGAUUAACCGUGAUGUUUUCUACUAGAAUUAGAAGUGCGGGCCUUCUAUAAUAGCAUUUAGUUUCCUUCAAGAGUUCCUUUUCUUCUCAAAGAUCUAUCCUAAUAAGUCUCAUGCAAUUGCUCUUGUUUCCUUAAUCUUUCAUGUGUUCCAUUUUAUAUUUAGUUAGUGUUUAAUGUACUUAUAUUUUCUAUGAUGCUGGUUAAGAAUCUUCCAUCACCAUUGAGAUAAAUAUAUUUUAAAAAAGGAAUGUCUGGUCCUGCUUAUUUUCAAUAAAUGAACUUUCUGCGAUGGAACUAUUUUUGGCUCCUGUGAGAAACCUUUUCCUUAAUAAGAAAGUUUGGCUGGCAUUCUGAGUAUGCGUAGUGCCUUCAAUGGCAGUAGAUUAGGUUCCCAAAUCCUAAGGCCCUGCUGCCUCAUUUCAGUUGGAAAUAUUGCUUUGUAAUUGCAAUAUACUAGAAGUCUAUCUUUAUGUUUUUAUUCCUCCUGUCCUGGCCUUAUGACAAGUAAAAGUUGAGUCUGGUACUGUAUACAUUGGUUUCCUAGUAAUGAGUUCUAUCACUCCCUUUCUAUUUUAUCUAACUAAUUGUGAAUCGAGCUUCAAAAUGAGCCGUUUAAGGGUAAGCCGGGUUUGGGGUAUAAAUUGUUUGGUUAGAUAAUUGAUUUCUUUACGAAUCCAUUCACUUAAAAGUAAGUAAAGCUUUCUUGUUGAUUCUCUAGAUUUGUUUUUGAGUUUCCUUUAAGAGAAUAUCUUGAUAAUGAAUUAGUUGGAAAGUCUUUGUUCACUAAAACAAUAUGUUGUUGGAUUUCGCUUUUGAUUAGAGCCGUAUUGUUGUUUGUAUUCAUUCUCGAAUACAGAGCUUCCUUCUUACACUUGGAGAACUCAUGAGGUAAGAUAUUUGCUGUUUGGUCUUCGUUAUGUCAUAUUGGGUAUCACUUUAUUAAAAUUAUUUGGAUGUGCUAGUGAUGCUAAGUGUUUUGGAGACUUCGGUCAAGUAGUAAGACUGACACUUUCAAGUAAGUAAUAGAGCUCGUAAGAUCAAUCAAAUAGUAAGAGCUCAAGGUGAUGUAACUGGUAGUGAAUAUUUGAAGGAAUAUGGAUAUCAACAGUGCGAAGUUUUCAAGAUUUCAUGUGUUGAAGAUUUAAAGUCAUGUUUAAACUGAUACAUGCAAGGUCCGCAGCCAUAGUCUUGCUCUAUGCUUAUCAAGGCAUUCCAGUUUGUUGGGAUUAUUUUAGUUUUAUUUGUUUAAGGACUAUUUGGAGACAUUGUUGGCAGGUCUCUCCUUACUCCACUCAUUUUCUCUUGUAGAAGCUAAAUUUGAUUUUGGCUCCAGAUAUACUAUUUUUAAUAUAGCUUGUGGGGUAAAAUUAACUGACAUAGUUGAUUUGCAAUAUUGAAACUUAAAUUCACAUCCUAAUUAGGAUAAACUCUUCAAACACCCCCAGAGUUUCUCUAGCUUGGAUUAGCACAUGUCAGAUUCAAACUAGUUGCCUUGUAUUAGUUUGUUGUAAUUUAGUACCAUCUUGGUGUCUUUUAAUAAAAUCUUACCUUAUUAUAAAAAAAAAAAACACAUGUUAAAUUCAUACUGUAAUUUGAUGCUGUCUUGUGUACGUAUUCUGUUCCCAUAAUACCUCGACCUGCCGAUGCAGCAGAAACUAAGCAUCUGGUGAAUGGACACAUUCUUUAAGGUCAGUAAAUGACAGUAGUUUUUACUUAAGAGGAUUGGAAAUGGCUUUUUGAAUGAGAGCUAGGGAGCAUGGGAGAGAGUUUUCUGCUCCAUUGUUUCCUCAUUAUUGACAUCAAAUUCUCCAUUUAACUUGUCUCUGAUUGGACAGUAGCUUGAUGUGGUUUAGCAACAUAAUUUGUAUCUUAGAUUUUCUGUUUUAUGCUCAUAUUAAUAAUUAUUUUGACACAAGAGUUGUUUUCUGAUUAGCUGUAUAAGUCUCGUUGAAAAAUACCACUAACUUUGCUUUACUCAAUUUAUUUUCCGGCCUGCAACUGUUUGUUACAAGUUGUAUAGCUAAAAAUGGCUAUAAGUCAUAGCUAGGACCUCUGCCUAUGCUUUCCAUUUCAUUCGGAUGAAUCUUUAUAUCACUGUGCAUCUAUCUGAUCACACAUUUGACAGAUGAAGCACUGGUGUCAAUUUGGCAAAUCACCAAGUAUAUUUAUGCAUAAGCAUACUUCCUUUGCCUGUUAAAUAGAACUAAAUAUAGACUCAUGGUCACUUCACUUUUUUCUUUUAAGAAUCUACCCUAUCUAUCAAUUAGAACUCGUAUAACCUUUAUAAGCUUUAUCAUCUCUUUUGAUACACAGAGUUAAAUUUUUAUAUUUCUAGUUUAUAAGAUAAGUUUCAUAUUUAAUGAUACUUGUGAAAUAUUGUAGGACAAAUUUGACAGUGAUGACGUAAAUGAUCAACGAGAUCAUGUCCUGAAACAUAUGAGAAAGUUAUGGAACAAUUGGAGAGGAUCGAUGCACAAGAAUAUUAAGUCUAAGUCAUUCCGUUUUGCUCUAAAAGAUGUGCCAAAGGGGUAGACAAGAGUGAUUGGGAAUGGCUGGUCAAGGAGCAUUUUCUUACUGAAAAAUUUAAGGAGACAAGUACAAGAAACUCGUUCAAUAGGUCAAUGCCUCAUCGUAUGGGUAGUAAGCCAAUUAGGGAGAUCAUUUAUUAAUUGGGAGGUAAAGAUGGCAAUCCACCAGAUGUGGCAACUAAUUUUUUUUAGACUCGUAAGAAGAACAACAAGCUUGUCGAACCUGAAACCAAUAAGAAAUAUGCUAAAAUCAAAGAAGUGGUGCAAUCUGAAUCGUCUCUUACAAAUAUUGAGGUUGUAGAAAGGUGCUUCGGACCUCAACAAAAGAGUCAUGUAGUUGGAUUUGGUGGUGGAAUAACUCCUAAGGAGUUGAAAGGUGGCAACUCCUCUAAAGCUGCAUUGUUGGAAAAGCUGAAUGCUACUGAAAAAGAAAAUAAAUCACUAAAAGGACGCCCGAAAAGGUUAGAGAGUAAAUAUGAUGAGCUAGGGAGUAAAUACGCACAGCUUGCAAAGAUAGUGUUUGAUCAGCCUUCAUCACCAUCUUCAAGUGAUCAAUAUAAUGAAUCAUUUAACAGGUUAGUAGAUUAAAAAUCCUAUUUUACUCUGAUGAAAAUAUUGCAAUGUUCAUGUGAAUUUUUUUCUUUAUGUCAUUAAGGUUUAUGAAUAAACAAAAAUAUAGUCAAAUGAAUUUAAGCAAGAAUGAAGUUUCAAAUAUUAUGUACAUGUUUAGGAAGAUAAUCUUAAAAAUAUAAAAUGCAAUUUGAGAAAAUUGCUAGCUUUCUCUUUUGCCUUUUUUUAGUUUGCAUUGCAGCCUAAUGCUUUUGAAGUCCUCUCUAAAACUGAGAAACAAGAUUUACUCUAUACUUGCUCUGUUGAACUGAGUAAAGCUUAAAGUUCAGUCAAGGUUUUGACGUACUUAGCAAAGUGUGGAUUUAAUAGAUCAUUCUAAAUGAUAUGAAUGAACAUACUACCACAAUAGAUCAUUCUAAUACUGCCAUAUGGAAUUCAAUGGCUAGCACUUGAUUUUACAAGUUGAUAAUACUCCUGUUUGUGAUUAAAUUCCUAGCUGAAAAUAUAGGAGCUAUUAUGCACUGAAUUUUAGACCAAAGAUGCUUCAUUUUAGACAUGAGUAGUGUAAGUAAAUUGAGGAAACGUAGUGGAAGGGACUAGAAAAAUUGACUAUUUGUUGUCUAAUGCAUAUUAUGUGUUAUCCAAUUUAUCUGCUUAUGCUCUAUCUAGGAGGUCGUGGUAUUGUUGUUUAUUUUCUGAUUUGCUUUUGUUCUAUGAUUCUCUUAUCAACUCUACUAAUUCUAUGUAUAGUAUAGGUAUACCCAGGCUAAGCCCGGGCCCAAUGGCUAUUUAGUAUUUGUAGUAUUUGAUUCUCAAAUAAUGCUAUCUCUAGUUUUACAAUAAGUGUCUUUAAGAAGAAAAGACUUUCCAAAGCAUUUAUUGUUACGAUUUUGCUAAAUACAGUUAAAUAUAUGUAUAGCAACAUCCUCAUAUAAAAAUUCAUUCACUAUAAAAGCCAAAAAAAAUAUUUGGAACUAAUUUUUAUGUUAUAUUUUACCUUUCUAUAACAGUUUUUUACCUAUAAAAACAACAUCCAUCUUUAUAGCAGUACACUCUUUGUAAAAUUACUCUUGCUUCAGUGAUUUGCUGAAAAAUUUUGCUACUUUUUAUUUUUGGUUAGAACAUGGUGCUGAAGUACUGAAGAGAAAUUAUUUUUUAAAUGUAAAAUCACGAGUAGAAUCCUUGCUGUGAAGGAAGAAAAAACAAAGACCAGCUUGCUUUUAAAAUUUAUUCCUAAUUCAUAUUUUAAAUAGUUUUGAAAGGUUAUAUAACUUGAGAAUUUUAAGAUAGGAAGAAGUUAAUUUCUUUUAUAUAAAAAAGGCAAAUUUUGAGAGCACAUGUGCCCAAAAAAGGGUGAAGCUGACACAUAUCUAUCUCCAAGAGAGGUGUCAUUUACUUUGACAUCAACACCUUAAUGCUUUUUGGACAUUGAAAAGAGGAUAGAUUUACGAAAGUACAACAAAGCAUUUAUUGUAAAAAGUUGCAAAAGAAGGGGCAAAAUAAGACUUUAAAAAAAGGCAAAUCAACACGUUCGCAGUACAAGAAUGCAAUGGGAGUUAUAGAUAAGAAUCCUGUUUUUUCAGUACACAAUCGAAAGUCAAAAUAUUUUCACCACAAGAUGCAACACAGGUCAGCAAGCAGAACAUGAAAUUCCAAAAUUAACAUCGGGAUAAAUGAAAUUCCAAGAGGCAUACACGACGACGGGGAGGUGCUUGGCUUUCCUUUAUGUAUAAUAGUAAUAUGUUAUAUCUUCAGCUCCGCCUAACUUUUUACCAUCACGAAAAAGAAUAAAUAUAAUACUUUAAUAUCAAUAUACAUAAGACUGACGUAUGAUGGGAUGUUGAAGAGAUUCGCCAGAACAACCAUGACAUUGAAAUACACAAUUUUUCUGGCACAUCUGCAUUUACAUGCAAAUGAUUAAGUAGGCGUUUGGCCUUAAUCUGUUAUUUUCAUUUUUUUGUGAAAAGUUUUUGACUUUAUUACUGUUUGUAAAUGAAACUGAAAUCCAGCGAUGUUCAGAUUUUGAACAUUGUAAAUGCAACAACAUGGAGAUAGCUCUAUAAGAGAAAUAAUCAAAACUCCCUGGGGCAACAACAGUUGCUUAGUUUCCUUUAAUUCGAUUACCCGGCGCCGUUAAAAGAAUGAAUCGAUUUAGGAAUCCAAUUGCACAUAAAGUUAGUAAUAACUGGACAUGCCUCUUUUCCUAUUGUUGUUUUGUCUGCACAAGAAAAUGCGCAGGCUCCCACUUUGCUGCAUAACCAAAUUUAGAUGUGAUGUACUUCCUAUGUACCCCUGUCAGUUUCCUGUUGCUGCCUUCUAGUGACAUCUCACAAUCCAUCUCGAGCACUCCAUAAGUUGAUCUUCCGAGUAACUAGUAUGCCACUCGCAUAUCUUACUCCAGUGCUGGACACCGUAGAGUGUGGUCUGAGCUGUAUAGAUUGCUGCAGCAGCUAUGAAUGACGGCGGAAACUUGAGCAUUUCUGAUCUUUGUAGUUUUUUUACUUCCUCGUUUAUGGACAUUAGUGUAGGCUUUAAUGUAUCUGAUCUUUCUUCUUUAGUUGUUUAUUUUUUGCUACUAAACUGGCAUAAAUUUGUUAAUUUGACCGAUCAAAAAUUUGAAGUCCAAAGAACCUAUCCUUGAAGAAAGUGGAGAUCAAGUUGAAGUACAAGAGAUUUUUGGUUUGUCAGAGAUGGUUUAAAGACAUUGUCUUAUGUACAUAUUUAUGUUGCAAUUUUACUUUUUCUCUUUUUAGGAAUUGUUAAAAAUGAUGUCUUACAAUUUGGAUCGAUUUAUGGUAAAUAUGAUACUUUAGUUCUUUGUAUUAACAAGA